CAAUUGGUGGGCUUUUCCCUAAGGAA
rnacentral:piRNA from 1 species